rnacentral:pre_miRNA from 1 species
CUAGUACUCUCUCCGUUCGGAAUUACUUGUCGCAGAAAUGGAUGUAUCUAGAUGUAUUUUAGUUCUAGAUACAUCCAUUUUUGAGACAAGUAAUUCCGAACGGAGGGAGUAUAUG